GUGAAUCAUCGAAUUUUUGAACGCAAAUUGCACUCUCCUCGGAGAGUAGGCCUGUUUGAGGGGCAGCCUAUAAAAAAUCGACAUCGUUGCUGUUUCGCGGUGGCGUUCGGCGGAAAUUGGGUCAUCGUAAAGCCGUUUGAUUUAAGCGACUUAAAAUAUUCUUUUGGUUCCAUGAACGUUUCUAAGAUCUAUGUCUUUACACGUUGAAGGUAUCGAUUUUUACGAGACGUGACCAUCAUAUCGGAUCGCUGCCAGAAUCUUUCAUUAAA
rnacentral:misc_RNA from 1 species